rnacentral:rRNA from 1 species
GAGUUUGAUCGUGGCUCAGAUUGAACGCUGGCGGCAGGCCUAACACAUGCAAGUCGAGCGGAUGACGGGAGCUUGCUCCUUGAUUCAGCGGCGGACGGGUGAGUAAUGCCUGGGAAUCUGCCUGGUAGUGGGGGACAACGUUUCGAAAGGAACGCUAAUACCGCAUACGUCCUACGGGAGAAAGCAGGGGACCUUCGGGCCUUGCGCUAUCAGAUGAGCCUAGGUCGGAUUAGCUAGUUGGUGGGGUAAUGGCUCACCAAGGCGACGAUCCGUAACUGGUCUGAGAGGAUGAUCAGUCACACUGGAACUGAGACACGGUCCAGACUCCUACGGGAGGCAGCAGUGGGGAAUAUUGGACAAUGGGCGAAAGCCUGAUCCAGCCAUGCCGCGUGUGUGAAGAAGGUCUUCGGAUUGUAAAGCACUUUAAGUUGGGAGGAAGGGCAGUAAGUUAAUAACCUUGCUGUUUUGACGUUACCGACAGAAUAAGCACCGGCUAACUCUGUGCCAGCCGCCG